AGAAAUUUAGGUUCAACUAAAACCAAAAGCCUUCAAAGCUUUAAAUAAGAGCGAGAGCCUCUUAAUUUCUG
rnacentral:tRNA from 1 species